GUCGCACAGCCCAGCCGCAAGCCACCUCCGUGCGCCGGCCAACUCCCUCUCCUCCUUCUUGAAUUGGCGGAGAAUUCUCUCUAGGCGACUUUUGAAAGUGUUAAGGUGGCCUAUCAGUUUGUUUACACAAGUCUCUAAGGAUCAAUAAGCGUUGCCCAUCUACAGGUUUGAAGAUGAUGCAUCAUUGGGAUCGGGAUUAGAGAGCUUGUAGUUCUAUUCGUUUAAUUAAGUGAUUUAAUUUGUUAACUUGGAUUUGAAAUUUGUCGUACUAUUCGUAUUUCCUUAAUUC